GACAUCCUAGUGUGAUUAAAAUAUUUGAAGAAAAUUUCUUUAGAAAACUCUCGGCCUCUACGUCUACCCCAGCGUUUAGAACAGUGCCUGGCAUUCGAGCAGAUGACAUCCUAGUGUGAUUAAAACAUUUGAAGAAAAUUUCUUUAGAAAACUCUCGGCCUCUACGUCUACCCCAGCGUUUAGAACAGUGCCUGGCAUUCGAGCGAAUGACAUCCUAGUGUGAUUAAAAUAUUUGAAGAAAAUUUCUUUAGAAAACUCUCAGCCUCUACGUCUACUCCAGCAUUUAGAACAGUGCCUGGC